GCUGGAGUAGCUCAGUUGGUAGAGCACGUCCUUGGUAAGGACGGGGUCACGGGUUCGAUUCCCGCCUCCAGCU
rnacentral:tRNA from 1 species